rnacentral:piRNA from 1 species
UGCAGAUAACAGUCAACAAGAGUGUGCUCU